UGCGCAGGUGGCCAAGUGUGUUAGGCGUGAAAGCCCGGGGCUUAACCCCGGAAUUGCACCUAAAACUACUUGGCUAGAGCAUUGGAGAGGGGAGCAGAAUUCACGGUGUAGCAGUGAAAUGCGUAGAUAUCGUGAGGAAUACCAGAGGCGAAGGCGGCUCCCUGGACAAUUGCUGACACUCAGGCACGAAAGCGUGGGGAGCAAAAGGGAUUAGAUACCCCUGUAGUCCACGCCCUAAACGGUGCACACUAGGUCUUGGCGGAUUCGACCCCACCAGGGCCCAAGCUAACGCGUUAAGUGUGCCGCCUGAGGACUACGGCCGCAAGGCUAAA
rnacentral:rRNA from 1 species